UGCAGUUAUGUAAAUGAGCACCUGGUGCUGGCCUCUGGGUGAGCUGAGGUUGGAGCAGGGCUCUGUGUGCGCAGCUGAAGCGAGGUUUCCGCGGUGAAGUAGACGAAUAGAGAGCGAAGAACAAACGGAACGGAGAUAUCAACGGUUUUCUCGUCCCGUUCUCACUUUAAUCUUGACAAAUGUGAGCUAGACAACUUGACAUUUUCAUCUAAGUUUUUGGACGUAACGUGUCGCCUAUUUUGGAGUGCUUUGUUGUUUUCAGAGUUUAAAGAAAGGUCGAACGCGCCGCGCUACAACUGCAGGCAGCGUUGGAUUAUUCCCGUGGCGGAAUAUUUUGGUGGACAGUCACAGUCCGACACAUUGCGCACGGGAUAUUCAAAACAUUUAGAAGUUGCGAUUGGUGUCUCAUUUCGCCGUGACUUUUAGGUAUGCCUGUGGUUGUCAGCGUGACUCCGGACAGGUAACCGGGUGUGUUGCUGGUGCCAUGGCAACCCCAGAGUUGCGUCUGUUGCCUGUCAUCGUGGUUACCAUCGUCCUGGUGGCGUUGUCGGCUGCGGAUGACCACGAGUGGCACUUUAAACCAGCUCAUGGUCGUUACGCCCUGGGGAUGGAGGAUGGCACCAUCCCUGACUCUGACAUCACGGCUUCCGCGCCUGGUCAGACUCUACUGAGGCCAAACACGGCAGGUAUGUAUGUCGGUGUGUGUGUGUGUGUGUGUGUGUGUGUGUGUUUAUUGCAUACCUCCAAAGGGAAAAAGCCCAGCAGAUGGCCUGUGUACUCUGUGUCAGCGUUAUUAGUAGCUGAUCUCUGUGGAGGAGAAGUGUUUCUGGUUUCCAUGAUUCUAAGACUCUGUGACCUUUGACAUAUUUGGGUCCUUUGUACCUCAAUGCUUGACUGUGGAGAGUGCAAAUAGAGUAUACAAAUGUUUUUUGCAUGUGUUGUGAGUGCCGUGUGUGAGUGCCUGUGUGUGAGUGCCUGUGUGUGAGUGCCUGUGUGUGAGUGCCUGUGUGUGAGUGCCUGUGUGUGAGUGCCUGUGUGUGAGUGCCGUGGUGAGUGCCUGUGUGUGAGCCUGUGUGUGAGUGCUGUGUGU
rnacentral:lncRNA from 1 species